rnacentral:rRNA from 1 species
UACGUAGGGCGCAAGCGUUAUCCGGAAUUAUUGGGCGUAAAGAGCUCGUAGGCGGUUUGUCGCGUCUGCCGUGAAAGUCCGGGGCUCAACUCCGGAUCUGCGGUGGGUACGGGCAGACUAGAGUGAUGUAGGGGAGACUGGAAUUCCUGGUGUAGCGGUGAAAUGCGCAGAUAUCAGGAGGAACACCGGUGGCGAAGGCGGGUCUCUGGGCAGUAACUGACGCUGAGGAGCGAAAGCGUGGGGAGCGAACAGG